rnacentral:rRNA from 1 species
CAGUGGCGCACGGGUGAGUAACGCGUGGAUAAUCUACCCUUGAAUUCGGAAUAACAUCGCGAAAGCGGUGCUAAUACCGGAUGAUGUUGUGUUUUCUUCGGGGAAUACAGCCAAAGAAUGCCUCUUCAUGAAAGCAUUUGUUUAAGGAUGAGUCCGCGUCCCAUUAGCUAGUUGGCGGGGUAACGGCCUACCAAGGCAGUGAUGGGUAGCUGGUCUGAGAGGAUGAUCAGCCACACUGGGACUGACACACGGCCCAGACUCCUACGGGAGGCAGCAGUGAGGAAUUUUGCGCAAUGGGGGCAACCCUGACGCAGCAACGCCGCGUGAGUGAAGAAGGCCUUUGGGUCGUAAAGCUCUGUCAAUGGGGAAGAAGUUGCAGGGUUCUAACAGGGCCUUGUAUUGGCGGUACCCAUGAAGGAAGCACCGGCUAACUCCGUGCCAGCAGCCGCGGUAAUACGGAGGGUGCAAGCGUUAUUCGGAAUUAUUGGGCGUAAAGGGCGCGUAGGCGGCCUGUUAAGUCAUAUGUGAAAUUUUGGGGCUUAACC